CGGAUCGAAGUCUGCAACCCGACUUCGUGAAGCUGGAUUCGCUAGUAAUCGCGCAUCAGCCAUGGCGCGGUGAAUACGUUCCCGGGCCUUGUACACACCGCCCGUCAAGCCAUGAAAGCCGGGGGCGCCUGAAGUCCGUGACCGCGAGGGUCGGCCUAGGGUGAAACCGGUGAUUGGGGCUAAGUCGUAACAAGGUAUC
rnacentral:rRNA from 1 species